rnacentral:rRNA from 1 species
UACAGAGGGUGCGAGCGUUAAUCGGAAUUACUGGGCGUAAAGCGUGCGUAGACGGUUAUUUAAGUCGGGUGUGAAAGCCCCGGGCUCAACCUGGGAAUUGCAUUCGAGACUGAAUAGCUAGGGUACGGUAGAGGGAAGUGGAAUUUCCGGUGUAGCGGUGAAAUGCGUAGAUAUCGGAAGGAACAUCAGUGGCGAAAGCGACUUCCUGGACCAGUACCGACGUUCAGGCACGAAAGCGUGGGGAGCAAACAGGGAAUUAGACUAC